rnacentral:rRNA from 1 species
CAGUCGUACCGGCGGACAAUCAGCUUUUUGAGUGUGAUUAUGUGGAUUGUGAGGAGUUUAAUCACCCUCAUGUUUUACGUAUUCGUGCUCUUGGGUGUACUUGCCCGUGUGGUAGGUUAACAUCAAUUUUGGUCGUCAUAAAAUGACUGGAGGAAUGUAGCUUUGGUCUCGUAUCGAAGUGUUAUAGACUCUGGUAGAUGUGACGAUUGGGAUCGAGGAUUGAGGAUUGCAACGGAUACCCUUCGGGGCUACCUGUCUGAUCUCUGAA